rnacentral:rRNA from 1 species
AGUGAACGCUGGCGGCAGGCCUAACACAUGCAAGUCGAACGGCAGCACAGGAGAGCUUGCUCUCUGGGUGGCGAGUGGCGGACGGGUGAGGAAUACAUCGGAAUCUACCUUGUCGGGGGGGAUAACGUAGGGAAACUUACGCUAAUACCGCAUACGACCUUCGGGUGAAAGCAGGGGACCUUCGGGCCUUGCGCGAUUAGAUGAGCCGAUGUCGGAUUAGCUAGUUGGCGGGGUAAAGGCCCACCAAGGCGACGAUCCGUAGCUGGUCUGAGAGGAUGAUCAGCCACACUGGAACUGAGAUACGGUCCAGACUCCUACGGGAGGCAGCAGUGGGGAAUAUUGGACAAUGGGCGCAAGCCUGAUCCAGCCAUGCCGCGUGGGUGAAGAAGGCCUUCGGGUUGUAAAGCCCUUUUGUUGGGAAAGAAAAGCAGUCGGCCAAUACCCGAUUGUUCUGACGGUACCCAAAGAAUAAGCACCGGCUAACUUCGUGCCAGCCGCCGCCGUAACAC